rnacentral:lncRNA from 1 species
UUAAGAGGACAACAACUUUUCUCAUUUGUUUCAAAGAUGGGGAAAAUGGCCUCUCUAUUUGCCUCUCUUUUAGUGGUUUUAGUGUCGCUGAGCUUAGCUUCUGAAAGCUCAGCAAAUUAUCAAUACUCAUCUCCACCACCACCUAAGGAACCAUACCUCUACAAGUCUCCUCCUCCACCAGUGCAUGUCUAUCCAUCACCACCCCACCACCCUGUAUAUAAGUCUCCACCACCACCCAAGAAGCCAUACUACCCUCCACACACUCCAGUUUACAAGUCGCCACCACCACCAACUUCGAUUUACAAAUCACCACCACCACCCAAGAAGCCAUACUACCCUCCACACACUCCCGUUUACAAGUCACCAUCACCACCCAAGAAGCCAUACUAUCCCCCACACACCCCGGUUUACAAGUCGCCACCACCACCAACUCCCGUUUACAAGUCACCACCACCACACAAGAAGCCAUACUAUCCCCCACACACUCCAGUUUAUAAGUCGCCACCACCACUCAAGAAGCCAUAUUAUCCCCCACACACUCCCGUUUACAAGUCACCACCACCACCAACUCCCGUUUACAAGUCACCACCACCACCCAAGAAGCCAUACUAUCCCCCACACACCCCGGUUUACAAGUCGCCACCACCACCAACUCCCGUUUACAAGUCACCACCACCACCCAAGAAGCCAUACUAUCCUCCACACACCCCAG